AGGCUAAAGUUAGUGGCCGUGGCUCGCAGUGUCAAUAAUUAAUUCGUGAAGUGCGCGUUUUUGCGCUCUGAAAUUCAAAUCACACAUUUUCCUUCACCACGAAAGAAUUUCUCGAGAACCAAACAGAAUUUCGCGGUUAUGUUCCCAAAAAGGUGAAAUUUAGGUCCAAAGUUUAAGUGGUCGUUCAUAGUUCAGGGCCAAUUUUCUCUCACAUGAUUUCAGAGAUAGGGUCAGUAUGGAGUCUUUUACAAAUUUCUAGCAGGGGUUAUUUUUUAUAUUGAUGGGUGGAUUAAUUACCUUAAGAGAUGACGAUCCAGUCGGACUUUUGAGGUUUGAUCCUUAAAAACCCUCAAACACUCUGGUUUGCUUCAAUCUACAGCUUUAUAUAUAUAGUCUAGCAUUUCUGCAUGUGUGCUUCCCUAAAUUUAUCUCCUCCAUGAUAUGAUAAUUUUUUUGGAUUUGAAAUGAUAUAAAAUUGUCAAAUCUACUAUAGGCAUGAACUUUAGAGAUGAAAAUAAUUUGGAAAAUUAUAAGGUUAAUUUUGUUUUACCAUGUGUCACAACUAGUAACUUCCCAAGGUGGGAAGCGUCACGCCUGCAAUAAGUUUUAUCAUCAUUACAAUGAAUCUCAAAUUGGUGGCUUAAUUAUUAGUUACAAGUAAUAUAUUGCCUGGUUUGAAGGGGGAAUAACCUUUUGAUUUUCGGCUAGCCUAUAUGCCUGCACUUGUUUGGAGAGAUCACUAUAAAUGAUUAAAGUGUGUCGUUUUCAAUCCAUAAAUAUUCAGCCAGAGCUGCUCCUUGUAUUUUUUAGGAAUUAAUUAUUUUAUUAAAAAUAAACAAUUUCAAUUUCAACCUAUCCGUAGUCGAAUUUUUUUUUUCCAAAAUUUUCUACUUUUUCCAGUAUUUUCUUUACCUCAGAAAUUAGUAAUGGAAAAAUCUAUUCUGAUCUGUGAAGUUUGUCUAUUCAAAUUAAAAGCAUAUAGUGCAAGUGAAUUGAUUCCUUUUAUAAAGUAGACUAGAGCAUUCUCAUGUUUCAUACUUUUGGCUAUGUAGCAGUGCAUGCUUGUGUUCUAUAUUCUUUUGGCUAGUGUAUCAAUACAUGCUUGAAUCUUUUUUUCUCAA